ACCGGUAGGUUAUGUAACUUGACCGGUGUGGAUGACUGAAGAGCAGGCCCAGGUUGCUGGGGACACGGCUGCUAUUGGCUGGUUGGCAGGGGGGCAACCAGUUCAGAAAAUGGGGCUUAACCACGCGGACCUUCACAGCUAUAUAUGGAAAAGAGCACUCCAUAAAAGCUGGCUACAUGAGCUUUGGUGUGUUUAUGUUACGUCCCUGUCUACAACAUCAAAGUGACAGCCAAUGACGGAGUGGAUGAUUUCAUGCAUGGAUGAAGCAUAGGCAGGGAAGAAUCCUAGCAGUAGCACCCACAGCUACCAAGUGUUUUGAUGACAUUGAGGCAAGCUUUCAGUUUCACUGGAACAUAACUCUUGCAGCUGUGGAAGUAUAGACAGCCUGCUUAAGAGAAUUAACCUUUGCCUGUGUUUCCUGGGCAACACAGAUAAGGAAAGUUUUCUUUUCAGACCCCACUGAAAUCAUUUACACAGAGAAGAAUAAACAUAGUGGAAUAAAUACACACAUAGAAGAAUAAAGAAGCCCAGGUGGGAAAGUUACUCUGAAGUAAGACAAUUUACCAAGUGGACACCCCUAGCCAUUCCUUAGGUAGUUUGAUUCUGGCACAGAUGAAGGUAUUUACCAUGUACAAGGACUGAGUCGUCAUGGGAAUUUAGAUGCACUUAGAAGAACACCAGUUCUGUUGUUUGAAUACAUUCUUAUUAUAGAUAGACAAUUCAAUGUCUGCCCAAAAUAUUUGUCUUUUGAUAGGCUCACAGUAUUUUAUGAUCAAACUAAAACAAACAAUACUGAAGAGUGGGGGAAGAGGAUUUUUUGUUGUUCCUUAUUCCUCAUCUCAAUAAUAAGGGUCUUGCUAAGGGUCCUACUUAUUUUGUUUUUAUACACAUACACAUAUAUGUAUGUUAUUUUAUACAAUUUUAAACUAAUAUAUUUGUAAAUCCUGGUCAGUAAGUAGAAGUAACAAAAGCUGUUAGAAAUGUUGCUGUUUCAGUGGAGCUCCUGUAAACAUUUCACCACUGGCAAGCACUUGCUGAUACAUACUUUAAGAUAAUUUCAUUAUUUUUGUUUGAUUUAAACCUUUGGUUUGUUUUUAACCUUUCCUAGAGUAUUUUUAGUAAUUUUAAUUACUGUUCCUAGACUAAAAUCAGCUUCUGUCCCCAUUUUCCUUAAAUAAAUUGUCUUUUCCAAAAGAGUAUCAUAAAAUAGAUGAAAAGCGCGUUCCAGUGCCUAAAGACUUAAGGAGAAGUAAAGGAUUUGACAAGGAGAUUGCUAUAAAACUGCUUAUCAAUUUGUACUUUCUGAUUACUCUCCCAACUCUCCCUUCAUUUUCUAUGAGAUGCUCUGUGAGCCAAUGCCCCAACUUUCUUCAGGUGAAACAGAAGUGUAGAAUUCUCCUGGUUUGACUUCUAUAGACUCUAUUUAUUGUCUGAUUUCUUAUAAUAAAGUGGAAGAUAAAGAAAA